GAUGAACGCUGACAGAAUGCUUAACACAUGCAAGUCAACUUUUGGCGGCCGGGUGCGUAACGCGUAAAGAACUUGCCUCACAGAUAGGGACACCAUUUGGAAACGAAUGCUACUACCUGCUACUGUGAGAGAGCUUUGGGUCCCAUUAGCUAGUUGGAGAGGUAACGGCUCACGAAGGCGAGGAUGGGUAGCCGGCCUGAGAGGGUGAUCGGCCACAAGGGGACGGAGACACGGGCCGUAGUGAUAAGGGAGGCAGGAGGGGGGAAUAGUUGACAAGGGACCAAAGUCUGAAGCAGGAAUUCGGGGUGUAAGAUGAAGUUUUCGGAAUGAAAAGGGUAUUGAGUUGGGAAGCAGUACCAACAGAAGAAGUGACGGCUAAAUACGUGCCAGCAGCCGCGGUAAUAC
rnacentral:rRNA from 1 species